GACGAACGCUGGCGGCGUGGAUAAGACAUGCAAGUCGAACGGGAGUUUAUUUAUAGCAAUAUGAGUGAACUCUAGUGGCGAAAGGGUGCGUAACACGUAGCUACCUACCUCGAAGUUGGGGAUAGCUCGGCGAAAGCCGGAUUAAUACCGAAUGUGAUCGUGAGAUCAAAGCUGGGGAUCGUAAGACCUGGCGCUUUGAGAUGGGGCUGCGGCCUAUCAGGUAGUUGGCGGGGUAAGUA
rnacentral:rRNA from 1 species